rnacentral:rRNA from 1 species
GACGAACGCUGGCGGCGUGCUUAACACAUGCAAGUCGAGCGGAGCGGCGAACGGGGGAGUAACGCGUGAGUAACUGCCCCCCUCUCUGGGAUAACAGUUGGAAACGGCUGCUAAUACCGGAUAGUGGGGGAUGACUCGCGUCCUAUCAGCUUGUUGGUGGGGUAGUGGCUUACCAAGGCGACGACGGGUGGCCGGACUGAGAGGGCGACCGGCCACAUUGGGCUGAGAUACGGGCCAAACUCCAUCGGGGGGCAGCGGUGGAGAAUAUUGCACAAAGGGGGAAGCCCUGAUGCAGCAGCGCCGCGUGCGAAAUGACGGCUUUCAGGUUGUAACCCGCUUUCAGCCAUAACGCGGUAGUGGCAGAAGAAGCAACGGCUAACUACGUGCCAGCAGCCGCGGUAAUAC